rnacentral:rRNA from 12 species
AAAUAAAGCCAUAACAGUGGCUGCACCUGAGUGUGAGAAGCCAAUAGCGUUCAAUUUCAGAAGCUAAGUAGGGUUGUGCCUGGUUUGUACUAAGAUGGGAGCCCGACUCGGAAAACCAGGGGCC